rnacentral:lncRNA from 1 species
UUAAAUUGCUUUUGCCCACGUGGUUUGCUCCCAAGGUUUUGAGGUGGUAGGGACUCUGAGUGAGGGCAGAAAGCACACAGGGAAAGAGGAGCUUGGCCUUCUGGAGUCUGGAGGGACAGCCUGGGGCAUCUGGGGACAGAGAGCAAGCACCCUUUCAUCUGAUACUUAAUGCUGGGAGGAAAAAAGCAAGGUUAAACUGUGACUUUAAGCAAAUCAUGUUUACUUAAGUAAUUCAUUGUGGGUAUUUUUUGCAAAUGGCUUAAAACCGCGUCUCUACUUAGUCAUGCAGAUAUUAGCAGGUAAGGAGAACUUUAUUUUUAAUAUUAAUUCAACAGACAUAUUGAGCAUCCACCAUCGGCCAGGCAGAUGAAAGAAUGGAUCUGGGAGGGAAGCAGUGAGUGGAUGAAGAGAAACUCAAAAGCACAACUUCUGGAAGGGCAUGCAGACACAAUCCAUUACUAAAAUGACUAGUCUUAUUGAAAGCUUUCUACUGAGCACAAAAGAUGCUGCAAAC